ensembl:lncRNA
AGGAGAGGGAGGAAGUAGACAGAGGUGACCAGGAGGAUAAGAGAGAGGAAUGAGUAGGAGAGAGACAAAUCUUGCCAGUAACCAGUUCCUUAGGUGUUCUCCACUGUCUGGAACACACAGAGAUUCACAGAGUUGGAUAGAGAAGAGAUGGGGGAGAAAAGAGACAGAGGCCACCUGGUGGAGAAAAAGGAGAGUCCAGAGGAGGAGAGAGUGGUCAAGCCAGUAAUCUCGCUCUCAGGGCUUCCCAUUUUUUGAUCCCAACAGGAAGACAGAAAGUAAGAGGGCCUGUUGAUGUGGUCCCUAGGCCAUCCCACAGAGGCCAUAAACAUGGUGGAGAAAGAAGAAAGUAUAUCCAGAAGGGCAAAAAGAAGGUAUCUGGCAAGGCAGAUAAUCUUGGACUUGUCUUUCAGUUCUAAAAUUAAAUGAGAAUGAAUGAAAAUCUAGAACAACAUGACAUUGGGAUUUGUUUGGAUUAAUGUACAUAUAUGAGUGAGAAAAGACGAGGGAAAUCUUACGUUGCUCCCCCCUCUUUUCUGCACAUUUAAUAUUCCAGUUCAUUAAAAGGAUGAUUAAUUAAGCCAAUGAUGUUUUAUAUUUACAAUCACAUGGCAAAGAGUUAGGUAACUUACCAGUUAAAUUAGACAAAAAAUUGAUUCAAAUUAUUCUUGAAAGCUGAUUUUAAAAAAUAGAAUACGACUUUUAGUGUUGAUUUUGAAAAUAGAUUUAGAAAAGUCCUUUUCUUUUUUAUGCAGCCAAGUUGAAUAGCUUUAACCAUGCGGCAGAAGUGCGCCAGCUUCGACAGACCUUGCAGAAGCAUGGCCCAGAUGAGCUACCCCACGUCCGAGGUCAGAGGCAGCGGCUAGGAGGAGCUACCCCACGCCCAAGGCCAGGGGAGGUGGCCAGGAGGAGCUACCUCAUGCCCGAGGCUAGGGGCAGAGGCCAGGAGGAGCUACCCUAUGCCCAAGGUCAGGGGCGGCGGCCCAAGGGGUAACCCCACAUUCAAGGAGCAGUUGCUACGUGGUCUCAGGAAGGCCAAGAGAAGCCACUCCAUGUUCAAGGUUAGGAGGGGCAGCAGUGAGGAGAUACUCCUUGUCCAAGGUAGGGAGCAGUGGCUGCUCUUUGCUGGAGCAGCUGUGAAGAGAUACCACACAUCCAAGUUAAGAGAAACCCAAGUAAGAUGGCAAGUGUUGAGAGAGGGCAUCAGAGGGAGACACACUGAAAUCAUAAUCAGAGAAAACUAGUCAAUCUAAUCACAUGGACCACAGCCUGGUCUAACUCAAUGAAACUAAGCCAUGCCCUGUGGGGCCACCCAAGACAGGCAGGUCAUGGUGGAGAGGACUGACAGAAUGUGGUCCACUGGAGAAGGGAAUGGCAAGCCACUUCAGUAUUCUUGCCUUGAGAACCCCAUGAACAGUAUGAAAAGGCAAAAUGAUAGGAUACUGAAAGAGGAACUCCCCAGGUCAGUAGGUGCCCAACAUGCUACUGGAGAUCAGUAGAGAAAAAACUCCAGAAAGAAUGAAGGGGUGGAGCCAAAGCAAAAACAAUACCCAGCUAUGGAUGUGACUGGU